rnacentral:lncRNA from 1 species
AUGGGAAAACAGCUCCAUCUGAUCCAGCUGUCCCUCUUUCAUUCUCCAGGAAUGAAACAGGUGCCUGUGCAACAGGAAAUGUUUCCUGAAGGAAGCAGUGAUUCUGUGCCAGACUCUGCUGCAGGAAGGGAGGCCAUGCCAGGCACAGUCACACGAGAUUGGGAUCAGGACAUGGAUUAUCUCGAAGCCCUGGCACUUAACAGUUUCAAGCUCUUGGAGGAUGCUGAAGCUGAACCUGUUAAUGAAGGUGAUCUGGCUAACCAUCCCAUGUCCAGGACUGAGCCUCUGGGAUCCAGGAGCGAUUCUCUGGGAGAUGGUGAGGAUGGAGCCGGCACCACAAGUCAUGUUCCUGAUUCCCGGAAGGGCACCGAAACAGGUUUCUGUCAGGGAACACUCUGCUGGCUGGAGAUAACAGCCAUGGUGGCUGGUGGAGAGCUUGUCAUCAUGUUGUGCUGCUUUGGAAUCUGCUAUGCCUGCAAGAGAAAACGGCACCUCCUUGAAGAAAAGCUGAAAGCUGGUGGCUGGUCCCAAGACCUCUACAGCCCGAAGAGCUACAGCAGCAGCUCUGACACUGACGAGUUUAUAUUUGCACCUUCAAGCUUUGUGAUGCUUUGAGAGGACAGGCCCAGCCCUCCAUCCAAGCCAAAAUUCCCCAGGAAAGGAAUUGGAAUUGGAAGCCUUCAACUGAACCAUGACUGAGAGCUGCCAAAAUCACGUCUUCUGUUCCAAUAAAUAGAUGUAGCUCCCACCCCA